GUGGAUUAGUGGCGAACGGGUGAGUAACACGUGGGCAAUCUGCCCUUCACUCUGGGACAAGCCCUGGAAACGGGGUCUAAUACCGGAUACCACUUCGUCCCGCAUGGGACGGGGUUGAAAGCUCCGGCGGUGAAGGAUGAGCCCGCGGCCUAUCAGCUUGUUGGUGGGGUAAUGGCCUACCAAGGCGACGACGGGUAGCCGGCCUGAGAGGGCGACCGGCCACACUGGGACUGAGACACGGCCCAGACUCCUACGGGAGGCAGCAGUGGGGAAUAUUGCACAAUGGGCGAAAGCCUGAUGCAGCGACGCCGCGUGAGGGAUGACGGCCUUCGGGUUGUAAACCUCUUUCAGCAGGGAAGAAGCGCAAGUGACGGUACCUGCAGAAGAAGCGCCGGCUAACUACGUGCCAGCAGCCGCGGUAAUACGUAGGGCGCAAGCGUUGUCCGGAAUUAUUGGGCGUAAAGAGCUCGUAGGCGGCUUGUCACGUCGGAUGUGAAAGCCCGGGGCUUAACCCCGGGUCUGCAUUCGAUACGGGCUAGCUAGAGUGUGGUAGGGGAGAUCGGAAUUCCUGGUGUAGCGGUGAAAUGCGCAGAUAUCAGGAGGAACACCGGUGGCGAAGGCGGAUCUCUGGGCCAUUACUGACGCUGAGGAGCGAAAGCGUGGGGAGCGAACAGGAUUAGAUACCCUGGUAGUCCACGCC
rnacentral:rRNA from 2 species